GACGAACGCUGGCGGCGUGCUUAACACAUGCAAGUCGAACGGAAAGGCCCUGCUUUUGUGGGGUGCUCGAGUGGCGAACGGGUGAGUAACACGUGAGUAACCUGCCCUUGACUUUGGGAUAACUUCAGGAAACUGGGGCUAAUACCGGAUAGGAGCUCCUGCUGCAUGGUGGGGGUUGGAAAGUUUCGGCGGUUGGGGAUGGACUCGCGGCUUAUCAGCUUGUUGGUGGGGUAGUGGCUUACCCAGGCUUUGACGGGUAGCCGGCCUGUGAGGGUGACCGGCCACAUUGGGACUGAGAUACGGCCCAGACUCCUACGGGAGGCAGCAGUGGGGAAUAUUGCACAAUGGGCGGAAGCCGGAUGCAGCAACGCCGCGUGCGGGAUGACGGCCUUCGGGUUGUAAACCGCUUUCGCCUGUGACGAAGCGUGAGUGACGGUAAUGGGUAAAGAAGCACCGGCUAACUACGUG
rnacentral:rRNA from 1 species